UGGUGUGAAAAAUAUCCCUUCAAUCCUACAUUUUAGAAAGGUUCUGAACCUAAAUUUUUGGAUAAAUAUUAAGAAGGGACAUUGCCGCGUUUAUAAAUAAGGAUAUUGCUUCAAAAAGCGAGAAAAAUGGUGCAUUAUCAGAAAGUUUGUAAUCAACAGGCGACAGAGAACGCUAAACAACGUUGGAAAACAUGGCAAUUUAAACCAUACAAUUUAUGGCCAAUCUUUAUACGGCUUGUUCAACCGGGUAACAAUUUCUGAAAUCUGGGAAAAGCCUUUAUUGAUAAAGUCAAGGAAAAUGAAUUUUAAUCAAAAUGUGAUGAAUACCUGUCCUGAUCAAUGUGGCUAGCAUAGCCAGUGGUUUAGCUGCAGACAAAAAGGGUUACUUAAAUGAUAGCAGCAUGUCUCCAUAACAUAUCAGAGUAAACAAGAUCUUGAUCUCCUUGGUUAUCUUGGAAUUGAAACUAAAAGUGAAAAAAGUGAAGGAUCCAACACAAAGAAAGGUUUGAACAUAAGUUUGUAACAGAUUUGUUAUUCUCUUCUGAUUAGUUCAUUUGGCAAAUUGUUAGCUUUGAUCAUCCAUCAACUCUACAUUCUUCUUUCUAUAAUUGUGAUGUGUUGUCAUGUUGUCUGUUAAUGCAUAUAUGGUAUUAGGUUGUACAGUGUUUUGUUUUGUCUUGUUUUGUCCAGUACUUGUCUGACAUUAAACACCAUGUCAAAGUGAACUUAUUGUCGCUAUAACAAUGCUUUUUUUAACCGGAUGACAUUUCAUCUUUAAGUACAGGGUACAAAAAACACCUAAUCUUUUAAAUGAAAAUUAGUUAUAAUGGACU